CUGGAACUCCCUUUGCAAUAUCCAUACGCAUCCAAUCGUAACUUCCCUUUACGGCCUAAUUCGGAUACAUCAGAUCCAUACCUCGAGGGGCCGAAAAUUUCUCCGGCCAUUAGUUCCUUCACCUCAGGAACACCACCGCUAACCCUCGAACCGGCAGCUAGGGUUCCAGGCGCGGGGGCGGUGUCGAUGGGGACCUCCAGCGCCUGCGCCUCCCGCUCGGAGUGGGCGGAGCCCGGGCGGAGAGAUGGGUAGCUGAACGGAACGGCGUGGGAGGAGUCGCCAACUGCGGUGGAGCCGCCGUGCCGACCACCUCCGCCCCGACCUCGCCCACGGCCGUGACUGCCCAAGGGAGGUGAGGAGGAGAAGGCGGCGGUGACGAAGGCCGGGGAGACGAAGGACGGGAGCUUCCGUGAUCGCUGAUGAGGGAGGGCAGCGGCGGGGCGCCCCGCUCCAGCCACCGCCCAUGCCCCAUCCCCCGAUCCCCUUUUUCGUCUCCCUAUUUCGGAGGAAGAAGAAGCUUUUUCCCCUUUAACCCCCUCCCUUUCCUCUUUUUAGCACCCGAGCCCCCCGUCUCUUCAGAUUGGACUGUGGGUUGAUAUCACUAAAUGUCAGGGGGGGUUUUGCAAAAUAGCCGACGGACGAAAAUCCCAGGCAAAGGCGUUACUUGCUUUAAUAAUAGGUAAAGAUGUAAGAGGAUCUGGUUCUCCAAUUUGGAUACCUAAGACCGAACACUACAAAUUGGCAAAAUCAAAUAAAUAUUCCUUACGUUAAAAUCUUAAAACACAUGGUUACGC
rnacentral:lncRNA from 1 species